rnacentral:rRNA from 1 species
AUGGUGUUUGCGGCCGUCGGUGGUGCUCGCCAGACCGGAGCGGCUUCGCCGGAGCGCCUGCAGAUUGAAGCAAAAUGGCUCGCGGUGAUCAUCAAAACGAUGAUGAUGAUUUCAUGGAUCCAUCACAGCAGAAUCGGGCAACUGGACGGAGAAAAGAGGAAGAAGAAACAUAUUCGCAAUAGAGCCUCCCAAGAACGACUGACUUCAUUGACUGACAGAUUUACCAACGAUCAGAAGGGAGCUGCUGCUAAGAUGGGUAUGCAGGCUCUGAUGAUUGUUCGCUGCACGAAUCUUGUCAAUCCUAUAUGCGAUUGGCUUGGUGAGAUUUACGACCCCGCCUCCAGGGAAUUUGUGAUUCCGGAACAUGGAAGACUGCUGUUGAACGAGGAAUCUGUGUUCUGCACUUUGGGUGUGCCUCGUGGACAAAUCAAAGUCCCGUAUGAGGUCAAUAACAAGAUCGAGGAAGCGCCGUUCCCCCGUUUGUUUUCUGGAUUGGAAUCCAUGCCGAACACGUCUGUACUGGCAAAAUUGAAAGAUGUGAAGAACAUGAAUUGGUGUAAGUUUAUUGCCGACUUCCUGCACGAUGCAUUCUCAAGCAAGAUGUACCAGAAGGGUUGUCGACUGCAUUUAAUGCUCAUGUACGUCGACUGUCUUGAUCUUUCCACCGUGGAUUUCACUGGGACAGGAGGCCCGCCGCCUACGCACAAGUUUGCUGUUUCUGCAUGGACUAUCGAUGCUGUCAAGGCCGUGCUUGCUGCAGACGGGGUAACUGAUACCAAAUAUGGAAAACUACAUCUGAUGGCCAAGCAUGCUAUAGACUACAGUGUGUUUGGGGGGCCUCAAAACUUUGGAAAGUGGAUGGACGUGCACUCAGCUCCGUCUUGCCCUACUGAGCAAGGGCACCUGUUCAGCAUCUAA